GUCAAAUUUUAGAGACAGAGUACCGUAAAAUACAGGGGGCUAAUGUUGCCCUCUACUGGUCAAAAGUCAUACAGCCAAAGGAAACCAGAGCUGAAAUCGGAGGUGCUGAAACUGCAUCUACAUCUACACUCACCGGCCACUUUAUUAGGUACACCUGUCCAACUGCUCGUUAACACUUAAUUUCUAAUCAGCCAAUCACAUGGCGGCAACUUAGUGCAUUUAGGCAUGUAGACAUGGUCAAGACAAUCUCCUGCAGUUCAAACCGAGCAUCAGUAUGGGGAAGAAAGGUGAUUUGAGUGACUUUGAACGUGGCAUGGUUGUUGGUGCCAGAAGGGCUGGUCUGAGUAUUUCAGAAACUGCUGAUCUACUGGGAUUUUCACGCACAACCAUCUCUAGGGUUUACAGAGAAUGGUCCGAAAAAGAAAAAAUAUCCAGUGAGCGGCAGUUCUGUGGGCGGAAAUGCCUUGUUGAUGCCAGAGGUCAGAGGAGAAUGGCCAGACUGGUUCGAGCUGAUAGAAAGGCAACAGUGACUCAAAUAACCACCCGUUACAACCAAGGUAGGCAGAAGAGCAUCUCUGAACGCACAGUACGUCGAACUUUGAGGCAGAUGGGCUACAGCAGCAGAAGACCACGCCGGGUGCCACUCCUUUCAGCUAAGAACAGGAAACUGAGGCUACAAUUUGCACAAGCUCAUCGAAAUUGGACAAUAGAAGAUUGGAAAAACGUUGCCUGGUCUGACGAGUCUCGAUUUCUGCUGCGACAUUCGGAUGGUAGGGUCAGAAUUUGGCGUCAACAACAUGAAAGCAUGGAUCCAUCCUGCCUUGUAUCAACGGUUCAGGCUGGUGGUGGUGGUGUCAUGGUGUGGGGAAUAUUUUCUUGGCACUCUUUGGGCCCCUUGGUACCAAUUGAGCAUCGUUGCAACCCCACAGCCUACCUGAGUAUUGUUGCUGACCAUGUCCAUCCCUUUAUGACCACAAUGUACCCAACUUCUGAUGGCUACUUUCAGCAGGAUAAUGCGCCAUGUCAUAAAGCUGGAAUCAUCUCAGACUGGUUUCUUGAACAUGACAAUGAGUUCACUGUACUCAAAUGGCCUCCACAGUCACCAGAUCUCAAUCCAAUAGAGCAUCUUUGGGAUGUGGUGGAACGGGAGAUUCGCAUCAUGGAUGUGCAGCCGACAAAUCUGCGGCAACUGUGUGAUGCCAUCAUGUCAGUAUGGACCAAGCUCUCUGAGGAAUGCUUCCAGCACCUUGUUGAAUCUAUGCCACGAAGAAUUGAGGCAGUUCUGAAGGCAAAAUGGGGUCCAACCCGUUACUAGCAUGGUGUACCUAAUAAAGUGGCCGGUGAGUGUACAUCUUGGGAAAUAAAGAUAUUUUGGCCUAGAAUUAAAAUAAGGUCAAGGAGAGUAUAAGUACCAAAAAAAUCUACACAUUAAGUUAACAACAGAAGUUUGCAUAAAUACUGAACUAUAAUCAAGUCAACAAGUAUUAAACAAUACUUACAAAAAAGGAAGAGAUGAUGGAUGUCAUUCAGUGUAACAAUGAUAAAGUAAUCAUGUUUUGAUAUGUACCUUUUACAGAGGCACUUGAAAACCUUUUGGCCCCCCCACCUCCUGUCCUUUCUUUUCUCACCCAUCCCUCUUCUCUCUGGUCCUUCUUUUUCUCUCUCUGUAGGGAAAAAUGAAAACAAGAAAUUUUCAAGUGAACAAUACACACAAAAAAUGAAGAAAUGAUGGAUGUCAUUCAGUGUAACAAUGAUAAAGUAAACAUUUUGAUAUGUACCUUUUACCGAGGCACUUGAGAACCUUCUGGCCCUCCCAACUCCUCUCCUUUCUUUUCUGUCUGCAAAAAAAAUAAAAUUGAGGAAAGUGUAAGUACCAAAUAAAAAAAAAAACGGUGGACGGUGGCAGACCCUGCACAGUGGUAUUUUCGUAUGGUGGAGCCCGGUGCACAGCCAGUUUGGUAUUUUCAUGGACUGAGGCGCACCGAGGUCCACCAAGCUGGGCGUGGUGGCAAGGCAGGGGCAGGGGCAGCUGGCGCAGUGACAUUUUCGUGCUCGCCGCCAGCGUGUAAAGUGCGCUGAAAGCUUGCCAAUUCAAACCUGGACAGCUUUCAGUGCAGGCAGAGCACAGCUGGUCUAGUGGUAUUUUGGUAGACCAGCGGUGUAUUACGCAUACGUCACAGAUGCCUCACUGGCAGGUUUCCACAGUGUCAGGCACAUUUCAGUGCAUUAAAUAAUCAACAACAACUAAUAAUCUGAGUCAGCACAUACAUUUAGAUCUAUAUUGAUAUAUUCUGAUCUAUAUCUGAUCUGAUGAGCACGUUUGGCAUGCGUUUGGACACUCAACCUGACCGAAUCAACACAGCUGAAUCCGCAUUAAAUAAGAUUAAAUAUCUAGUAAAUAGACACACAUGAUGAAGUUAACAAGAUAUGUAAUUCGUCUCCCUCCUUUUCUUUCUUCCUCUUCCUCUUAUUUCUUGCGCAGAACGACCUGAACAUGUCUCCGUGUCCUCUCCCCGUCCUGCUGUAGCUGCGGCGGCUGAACAGAUGAUUUGUUUCGGUGAUCAGAUGAGUUAUUUACUUUAAGCCGACACAACAUCGAUGAAAGAAAGAGCCAGGCCACGGAGCGUGAUGCGUCAUUACGCACAGAUGGUUCCAAUUUUAAUGCCAUUUUUGGAGUUUUUGUUGUGAUCUGUGCGCACAACCCACUUUUGUUACGUGAGGUUUAAAUAUGUGCAACUUUAUGUGAGUGUCUUUAUUUGUGGAAAAGGGUGUCUGUCUUACCAGAGGGUCCAACAUUACACACACCAAAUCCAUCUGUGCUUAUGUGAGACAGUGUGAAGGACGCCCUCUGCAGUGCUUACAGCGACACUUGUUGAGGAGCUGCCUUCUGUCGCCAUUGUGUGAUCUCUCUAACCACUUCACUAAAAUAGUAACACGCCUCGCUGGUGGCAGAUUUAAAGGCGAGGAGAGGAGCUGAUGUUAUUGGUCAAUACAGGUCUCGGCUGUGUUAAAUCCACUCCAUGCCCUCUCUCCUCCCUCGCAAAGACUUACGCUGCUGGGAGGAGCUGAGUUAGGGAGGGGGGAUACUUACGCCGGGCUAUGCCGCUAACCAAAAUACCAAAUUCUGCUUGGGCACGCCUUGUUGGCGCGGCGGACCUGACUUACCCAGCGUCGCCGCCGAGGCACGAAAAUAGAGCCCCUAGUGCUGAUUUAAGUUUUUGGUUUAAAUGAUCAACAACAAAAUCACAAGCAGAGGGUAAAACAGCCUUUGGAGCAUCAGUUAAAAUCCCACUAAAAUUAGCAGCCACUUCAGAAGUAAGAUAGUGUUUACAGACAGUACGCUCUGGGGCCCCCUGCUGGAUAAAAUCCAUUACGUUAAAAAACACACAGUGAUGGUCAGACAAGCCCACAUCCACACCAGAGGAAACAGUGGCUGAUAACCCAAAGGUUAUUAAAAGAUCCAAUAUAUUUCCUCUGUUGUGGGUGGAGCUCGAUACAUGCUGCUUAAAAUCCAUAAAAUUAAUAAGAUUUAUUAAAAAUUCAGAGCUAAGAGAGUCAGAUGGAUUACCAACAUGAAUAUUAAAAUCCCCUACAAUAAUGAUUUUGUUGUACUUUGAAUAAAUGAUUGAUAAUAGUUCUGAAAAUUCACUGAUAAAAGCCGAGCAUUUUUUGGGUGACUUGUAAAAAUUAAAUAAAAUAUAGUAUAUAAUGUUGAGGUAGGUUUGUACAGAGAAAAUAUAGAUUUUGAAAAAUAUAUUAGAAAUAGCAUUCAUUUAGUAUGAAAUUACACUUUGAUACACUUUGUGAUACUUAACACACUGGGCUCUAUUUUCGUGCCUCGCUGGCGGCGUGGCGCAGGCACGGCGUAAGUCAGGUCUGUCGCGCCAACAAAGCACGCUUUGGUACUGUAUUUUGGUGAGCAGCGCAGCCUGUCAUGAGUAUCCCCCCUCCCUAACUCAGCUCCUCCCAGCGGUGUAAGUCGUAGAGGGAGGAGAGAAGGCGUGGAGUGGGUUUAACACAGCCAAGACCUGUUUUCGCCAAUCAUAUCAGCUCCUCUCCUUACCUUUAAAUCUGCCACCGGCGAGGCGUAUUACAAUUUUCGUGCAGUAGUCGGGGAGAUCAAGAGAUGGCUGAAGACAGCAAUGCCGCAUGAUGGCGCCUCAACUAGUGUCGCUGUAAGCGCUGCAGAGGGCGUCCUGCACACUUUCUCAAAUAAGCCCAGUAAAAAGGUGUAAGAUUUUAUCCCAUCUCCAAUCUUUAAGUUGUGAUAUUGCCAUGAUUCAAGAAACACACCUCACGAAGCAGGAGUCUCUAAAACUGAAACAAAGAUGGGUGGGCCAAGUUUUUUAGGCCCCAGGCAUAGGAGCUGCCAGAGGUGUUAGUAUAUUAAUAGCUAAAAGAAUCUCUUUUACAACGUCUGCAAUAAGAAUGGAUGAAGAUGGGCACUAUCUGGUACUGUCAGGUACCCUCCAGAAUGAGAAAUGCACCUUUGGUUAACAUCUAUGCACCCAAUUCAGGUCAGAACCUCUUUCUCUCCCCUCUUAAUAGUUUACUAGCCCAAUUCGCAGAUACUCCCUUACUGAUAGGUGGUGACUUCAAUCUGGUCAACGAAGCCGGCAUUGAUCGCUCAAGCCGUCCCCUACCAUCAGAUAAAGCAUCAUCGUCAGCUUUCAGUGAGAUGAGGAGUUCACUGGCACUGACUGAUGUGUGUCAAUCCACAAGAACGGAGCUAUACAUAUUAUUCAAACGCUCACAACUCUUACUCCAGAAUUGACUAUCUCCUCAUUUCAUCAAAUCACACCAUGAAUGUCAUUGACACAACAAUCCAUAGCAUACUUAUCUCAGACCACGCACCCAUAUCAAUGACCUUCAGUCCUGUAUUUGACACCCAGCACAGGACAAAGCAAUGGAGAUUUAAUAACUCUUUAUUGCGGGAUGCAAAAUUUGUCUCCCUCAUAACACAAAGAACCAAUGAUUUCUUUUGAAUAAAUAUGAACUCAUUUGCAUCUAUCCAAAUUGUCUGGGAAGCCUUCAAAGCAACGUGUAGAGGCUGGAUAAUCGCCUACUCGACUGCCAAUCGUAGGCUAAGAGAUGAAAAGAAAAACAACUUAUUGGCAAAAAUUAAAACUUUAGAGUCUCAACACAUAGUUGACACAACAAAUCUUGUCCUUAAGAAGGACCUCCUCUUGGCCAGGGCAGUCAAUACUCCAUGAGGAGACCGCUUUUGCUCUAUACUGCCUGCGUAGGAGACAUUUUGAAAGUGGCGACAAAGCAGGUAAAAUGCUCACCUAUCAGCUCAAGCUGCAGGAGAACAAACAAUCAAUUCCAGCAAUAAGGGAUAGUAGUGGGAACAUCAUUACAGACCCAACUUUAAUAAGCUCUGCAUUUAAAGAGUAUUACUCCAAAUUAUAUCAGGCUGAAUGUCAAUCUCAGGAGCACAAGGUGGCAGAAUUCCUUAUGAACACGCCCCUCCCUAAAUUGUGUGCACCGGACAGAGAUGAUCUGGAGGCACCAGUGUGGGAAGCAGAGAUCCUAACGGCAAUCAAAAAGCUUGCCAAUGGCAAAUCCCCUGGGGGAGAUGGAUACUCAGUUCCAGAGCAUCUUGUCUCCUGUCCUAACUCAAUUAUAUAAUAACAUUAUUGAAAAUACGUCAAUGCCAGCGACAAUGCGCACAGCCACAAUUGCACUUCUUCCUAGAGCUGGAAAAGAUCAUCUAGACAUGGGAAACUUUCGCCCCUUAAGUCUGUUAAAUAAUGACUACAAACUAUUCGCCGAAGUUCUGGCUCUCCGUAUAGAGAAAGUCAUUACCUCCGUGGUUCAUAUAGACCAGGUAGGAUUUAUACCAGGCAGACUUUCAGCCAACAACAUGAGAAGAUUGCUUCAAGUCAUGUUAAAAGCUAGCUCUCUCCAAUCUCCAGCGGUAGCAAUAUCGUUGGAUGCGGAAAAAGCUUUCGAUAGACUAGAAUGGCCCUACUUGUUCCCGAUACUCUCUAGAUAUGGUUUCGGACCAUCGGCUAUGCGGUGGAUUAAGGCCCUGUACAAUAACCUGGUUGCUGCAGUCAAGGUUAAUGGUAUGAUCUCUAAGACAUUUCAUCUUCACCGUGGCACUAGACAGGGCUGCCCCCUAAGCCAUUUAAUAUUUGUCCUGGCUCUGGAACCACUAGCAUGUGCCAUUUGUUAGCAUGCCAACAUAACCGGUAUAAAGAUAGGUGGCCAUGAUUUUAAGUUAAAUAUGUAUGCAGAUGACAUCUUACUGACCAUAUCAAACCCAGUUCAUUCAGUACCAGAAGUUCUGGAAUUAAUUAAAUCGUUUGGCUUGUUUUCAGGAUAUCAAAUCAACUGGACCAACAGUGAAGCAAUUUGAACUCUAAAACCCUCUCAGCGGACCUAAAAACCACCCCCUUUAUGUGGAGACCAGAAGGAAUGAGGUACCUAGGAAUAACCAUCAGAUCCCCAGUCUCUAAAAUUUUUGAUCUUAAUGGUCCUCCCCUUCUAAAAACGAUCCGUGAAGACAUCAAAAGAUGGACAAUUCUCCCACUGUCACUAUGGGGAAGAGCAGAGGUUUUAAAGACUAAUAUUUUACCAAAAUUAACUUAUUGCUGCCCUCCCUUUGCAGUUUCCACAGGGCUGGUUUAAAGAGAUUGAGGCUUUAUUUACCAGUUUCUUAUGGAAAGAUAAGAAACCAAAAAUAAACCGUAAAAAACUCUCCAAACUGAGAUCCCAAGGUGGGCUAGGUGUUCCAGAUGUCUUUUUUUAUUAUUUGUCUUAUAAUGCGAGAUUUCCACUGUCACACCUCAGUGAGCAUGUUUUCAUGUCUUUACCUUUUUUCUCCUUUUUCUUUUAUCUCUUUUACCUCUAUCUUAUUUCGACUUGCUAUCCUUUUAGCCUUUGUUUUACUUAUAAUCUUUUCUUAUUUUACCUCUUAGGUCCUUAAUGGAUUUUAAUGUUUUUUUUUUUUCAAUUAUUAUUUCAUUUUAUCAUUUAUAUUACCAUUAUUAUUAUUUUAUUAUGAUUGUAUUAUCAUUAUUAAUGCUGCCCCCCUUUUCUAUUUCAUUUCUUCUUCUUACCUAUUUUAUGUUUUUACCUGACCCAAUGGCCUAAUAUGAUAGGCUUCGGAGGCCCACCUACCCAUUACUGAAUAUCCUGGGCUAACUUGAUUCCAUGAUAUUUUGCUUUGGUUAUCUUGAUUUAAUUCUAUACAAUGCAUCACAAAUCAAGUUUUUUAUUUCUUGUACUUGUCACUAUAACUCCAAACACUGAACUACCUGUUAUUGUUCCAGCCAUAGCAGAGUUUUCGAGCUGCCUUACCUGAGUGCAGCAGAAGUGUUAGGUCACAGCCUGAGUUGUGCGGCAGAAUACAGAGGAGUUCUUGACCCUGGCAGCUCUAAGUCAAUGUGAGCUCCAUAUGACAACAGCAGCUCCAGACACUCUCUGUGACCUGAGGGAACAACAACACAACAUCAGAAUCUGUGCUUCCUCUCAGUACGGCUUCACUGACUCACACAAACUCACCCUUUUCACCAACCCUUUGUUGCUGCUCAAGUAUAUGUGGUCAUUAUGUUAGCCACAUUUUCUGAAGCCACAUACUUGGCUUAUAUUUCAAAUAAAGAUGUGCUUUUUCUGACUGUGCACACAGGGUCUUUUGACCAACUCUUCUAGGACAAAACCUUGGGUUUAAAAAUCCCAAAAUCAAAAUCAAAUCAGGAGAUUUCACUCAUUUCAAAUAUGUCAUGUAGCUUCUUCAUAUUAAGCUCAUGAGCACAAAAACAGUAAGUCCUAAAAAUAAAUGAAAAAAGAAAGAGACAAGCUUUUCUUACAUUCUCAGCAUUGUCCAGCUGGACUUUGGCACAAGCAUAAUGGCCACCAAGUCGGCUUCAUGGAGAGGUGAGGUUCUGUCCAUUAUGAGUGUGUCCACAAGGAAGCCCUGCAGAGGAGGUGAGAGGGUGUUAUGUCCUCAGUUUGAGUGUGCUGUAAUAUUUUCUAAACAGAUCUUAUCAUUAUCAUUAUGAUGCUGGAUGUUUACCUGAGCGAUAAGGCUUCUUAGGUGUCGCAGUCUACCUUCAUGGAGAAGAGUUCUGUCUGAGAAACCAGAGAGUAAGAUUAGGAGGGUCUCCAGCUUCAGAAAAACCCACAGAUAAUGCUCAAGGACAUGUGCACCCUGAGAAAGUCUACAACAGCAAAAAGUGCAAAGAUCGAGCCAGUAACAGGUCCAUAGUGAAUCCUCAGCCUCUGUAGCCGUCUGUCCAGGGGGAGCACCUCCUCUCCAGCCACUUAGUCAUACACUUAAAAAGGGACACACUCAUAAAAGAGACACAAAAGAAAUCACCUUAAUUUACCUGCUUACUACAUGUUUGGGUCUGCAUUUGUGUUCGACAUGUUUCCAAUUGAACUCGCAGGCCUGUACAAUCAGGACAGAACGAGACAAAUUUCAUCAUAAAAUGUAUGGCAGAAGGAUCAAAUGGAUAUAGAUAUACUGACUAUCUGAAAACACAUAAUUCAGUCGGCUCUUAUGAACUGCCUGUUCAUGGGAGGAUACCCGCACCUGUUAAGUGUAACACAUGAAAGCAUUAUGGUGGAGCACAGUGUGAAUGUGUGGCACUCCCACUAUGUGCAGUAAGCCCAGUGCUGUCUGAGAGGAUAGGGCUUUGGUGUUGAUUGACCCACCUUUUCAGGCCUUUCUGCAACAUUUCUCGACGUGUAGAGGUUUCUCACUCUAAUCUGGAUGGAGGUGUGGAGGGGAAUGACUUGCACUGUUGGCUCACACAGGGUCAUGAAGUCAUCAGGGAGCACCUCAGGAAUGCCUGUCUUCAACCUUAGAAAGGAAACAUCUUCCAAAAUGUGAGCACCUGUCGCAGUGUUCCUCUGUCUAACAAAAAAAACCCCAACAUAUUUACCCUCUGUUGACGGGCUGCAGUAUAGGUCAUAAAUCCUGCCUCCGCCAGCAAAGCUUAUGGAGCUGUGGACAAACUUUAGAAAUUUAUUACACAGAACAUAAUUUUUUCUCCCCCCUACUUGUGAUGUUGACAUGUAGUUAUUGUAAGACUGGUUUGUGCUCAAGUCCUCUUUUUUCUGUGAAGCUCUGUUUUUAAAAGUUAUUAGGGGGUUCAUGUUUUCUAUGAUUGACACCUGAUACAGCCUAUGGGCGUUCAGGGAUUGCGUAGCUCUCCUGGGGGAUACGCUGUUUGAGUCAAGCGUCAUCACAGCGACUCUCUGCGACUGCGCGGCCGAAUGCGCGCAUUGCUACUGCGCAACACUGGUUUCAGGAAAUGAAGAAAAAUCCCAGAAAUACUGAGAGCUAUUUGGCUUCAAAUCCGUAUACAGGCGGUAGGCGGAACCAAGUUGUCCAUAGUAUAUACAGUCUAUGAUCAGUCCUCUUUUUUCUACUAUCCAACACAAACCCCUGAGCUACAGAAACACAUUUGAAAAUUGAAAAAAAAGUUCAUCGAUUUUAAUGUGGAUUCACCACACAUGUCCUCAGCGUGGCUCAGAUUUGGGACGGACAGGACUGAGGAUAUUGUCUCCAGACUACACAGAUGCUGGAGAACAAUGGAAGACGUCAGGAAUAAAACAUUCAAGGUUUUCUUGAAACACAUAUGCAUAAAUUUAUACAUGAUGUUAUGUUUAUUUUCCACCACUGACCUCUGGGUGACACUUCUUUGGUGACUCGCUAAAAGUUUUGACAAGUUAAAGAUAAAAAUAGGUCAAAUUUUAGAGACAGAGUACCGUAAAAUACAGGGGGCUAAUGUUGCCCUCUACUGGUCAAAAGUCAUACAGCCAAAGGAAACCAGAGCUGAAAUCGGAGGUGCUGAAACUGCAUCUACAUCUACACUCACCGGCCACUUUAUUAGGUACACCUGUCCAACUGCUCGUUAACACUUAAUUUCUAAUCAGCCAAUCACAUGGCGGCAACUUAGUGCAUUUAGGCAUGUAGACAUGGUCAAGACAAUCUCCUGCAGUUCAAACCGAGCAUCAGUAUGGGGAAGAAAGGUGAUUUGAGUGACUUUGAACGUGGCAUGGUUGUUGGUGCCAGAAGGGCUGGUCUGAGUAUUUCAGAAACUGCUGAUCUACUGGGAUUUUCACGCACAACCAUCUCUAGGGUUUACAGAGAAUGGUCCGAAAAAGAAAAAAUAUCCAGUGAGCGGCAGUUCUGUGGGCGGAAAUGCCUUGUUGAUGCCAGAGGUCAGAGGAGAAUGGCCAGACUGGUUCGAAGCUGAUAGAAAGGCAACAGUGACUCAAAUAACCACCCGUUACAACCAAGGUAGGCAGAAGAGCAUCUCUGAACGCACAGUAUGUCGAACUUUGAGGCAGAUGGGCUACAGCAGCAGAAGACCACGCCGGGUGCCACUCCUUUCAGCUAAGAACAGGAAACUGAGGCUACAAUUUGCACAAGCUCAUCGAAAUUGGACAAUAGAAGAUUGGAAAAACGUUGCCUGGUCUGA